AUGCAUGAAACCUCAAUCGUGGAAUAUCCUCCAACUUCUUCAACAAACAAAAGGCGAAGAUGUGGCAGAAAUUCAUUUCAGAAGUGGCAUUCGUGGCCUUAUAGGGAAGCGAAGAGGAUGGAGCUGACACCCCCGGCGGGAUCCUUACGUCCAGCUCCCGGCCUGGGCUCGCCGUGCCCUGGGCAGCUCCCGUCGGAGGUGGCGAUUCCAGCGACAAGCGGGCACCAGAAAGCCGCCGGUGCCCGCGGCAGGCCACAUCACCCUCUCUCCCCUGAGCAAGCGGAUCAGCCUCGGGAAAGGAAGAUGCUCCUGCAAGAGGGCGGGCAGCGAUUCCCGCGGCUCGUCCGGGCAUCCCCCGAGCCGGGAGCUGUAUCCCCGCCGGGCGCGGUGUGUGCCCGCCGCCGCCCCCGCAGUCCCGCAGGCUGCCCAGCACGGAGGGGAUGCUCGCCCGCCGCUCGCCCAGCCCGGCCCGGCCCGGCCCGGCCCGGCCCGCCGCCCUACCUCGCCCGCCCGCGCCGCCGGCCGUGGAGUUGCCGCAGCCCAUGGGCGCUGCCCGGGCCGGCGCCGCGCCCGCCGGUGCGCUGCGGUCACGGGAGACAGCCGGCGGCGGGCGGAGCCGGGUGGGAGAUAAAGCCGCGGGGACCCCUCCUCCUCCUCUUCCUCCUCCUCCUCCUCUCCCCACCCAUCGCCCGGGAAACCGCCGGCCCCGGGCGCCGCCGCCCGGCCCCGGCCCCGGCCCCGGCCCCGGCCCCGGCCCCGGCCCCUCACCGCACCCCCCGCUCGUCCCCGGGGAGCGCCGCACCCCGGGCUGCCCCUCGCCCGCACGGAGAUAUGGCUCAGCCCAGGCUCAGGCCAGCAGGACUCCGAACGACCCCCACCCGCAGGCAACGAGCACAGAGCCUCCCCGGCAGUGGAGAUGCUCCUUGGCUCACGCGUUUCACGGGAGCUUUGGGACACCCGUCAUUCGCCAAGGGGAACAUCGGCCUAACCACAGGACCGGGCUGCAAACCCUAUAUCUGCUAUCAA
ensembl:lncRNA